UACGUAGGGUGCGAGCGUUAAUCGGAAUUACUGGGCGUAAAGCGUGCGCAGGCGGUUCGGCAUGUCUGGUGUGAAAGCCCCGGGCUUAACCUGGGAAUUGCAUUGGAAACUAGCGGGCUGGAGUGUGGCAGAGGGGGGUGGAAUUCCGCGUGUAGCAGUGAAAUGCGUAGAGAUGUGGAGGAACACCGAUGGCGAAGGCAGCCCCCUGGGCUAACACUGACGCUCAUGCACGAAAGCGUGGGGAGCAAACAGG
rnacentral:rRNA from 1 species